AUAGAUCCGAACCAUAACUAUUAACAUGAAAGAAGACAAAGCCUCCGCCAUGAUAGUAGAAAAUAACUGGCAAUUUAUCAUCGUCAUGAUUUGCAAUUAUUCGUCGUGGUACGUAGAUUCUCAUCCAUGUUUUUUUAUUGCUGUCUAGGUCUACAUCCUUAGAUAUGACUAAAGAAGUACCAUUGGGAUCAAAAUUGGCUUGUGUGAGGGGUUCAGGUUGACGUUUAAUUGUAUCAUUUGGUAAUUCUUCAAUGUUCAAAAAUGGAUUGUCAAAAAUUGGACGAACAAAUUUUUGGCUAGACAUAAUUAUUGAUCACAAAAAUAUGUAUUAUAGGAAGUUAGCUAUAUAUUAGGGGUUAUAUAUAAGAAGAAGAAGAAUAUUACUGACAAGUGACAACUAGGAAUUAUUAUAUUGAAAAUUGCAAUAAUUAUGUGUAAUUUUUUUUUUUGAGAUGCAAUGAAUUCAUAUUUUUCUUACUUUUUAACUUGUCUUUCUUUAUCUCACUCUGUACGCUCUUUUCUCGUUCACAUCUCUUCUUAUGUAUAUGUAUUUCAGAAUAUAUCUGAUAUCUCAGAUAUAUGUAUCUUGUGUGAUUUACGUAUAUUUUGUGGAAGAGAAAUAUAUAUAAUAUCAAGUUAUUUGACUUAAGAAAUGAUAGUUGUUUUUCUUGACUUAAAAAUAUUUAAGGAAUUUUAAGUUUGAUUUUGAUUGCUUAAAUAAAUUCAAGGUAGGCUGCAGAUCCAAGUGUUGAUGAUAUUCCUAGAGCUACAUUACAAAGAGAGAAAUUGAAGUUCAGUCUGGGGCUGGGGUACAUUCGAGAAUAACACUCUCAAUAAAAAAAAAUUCAUAUAGAUUCAAAGCUUGAACUCGACUCAAUACCUCUUAAUUAUAUGCACUUGUAAUUAAAGUUGGUGCUUGUGAAAUAUUUUAUGAAAAGAGUUAUGAAAUGGAGUUGUGGUUUUACCUUCAUGAAUAAAGUAAAUUAUAAUUAUACUGAUGGACUAAAUUCUUUAUCCUAUUAUACUGAUUGAUAAGACAUAAUAUAAUUAUUUUUUUUCGUAUAUAUUGUUAAUUGGACGAAUUAAUGAUAAAGUAAUUAUGAGGUUUAUUUGCGUAAAACUCCUCUUAAUUUGUGCUUUGAGAAAAGUAGAUAUAUUCAUGACAACUCGAAUUAAAUACUCAUGCAAUAGUUAUGGAUAUAAUUAUUGGAUUGUAUAUUAGGAAAAAUUGAUUUACUUUCGAGAAGCAAGAAAAGUAGAAGGAAAAGAAAUGUCAAUUAUAGUGUGCGAUAAAAGAAGACAACAUAAAUGGAUAACUACCACCCGUUCUGUCUCAGUUUACGUGAUAUAUUUUAGAUUUCGAGAAUUAAAUAUAUUUAUUUUUAUCAUAAAUUUUUUAUAUAACUUUUAAAUAUUUUGAAUUAUCAAUUACUGUAACUAAUACUUUUUACAUAAUUUAUAACUAUAUAAAUGUUAAAUAUCUUACGAAUAAAUUUUUGAUUAAAUUUAAACUAUUUAAAUCUCUAAAAUUGUAUCACAUAUAGAGUGAGUAUGCAAUUUGAUUAAAUAAUAUAUAAGUUCACGUAUCAAAAUGUAAAGUCUAAAGUGAAAAUAUUUAUUUAUGGUAGAUUUCAUUUGAUUAGUAGUCGUCUUUCUUGACUAUGAUAUAAUAAUAAUAAUGUGGCCAAUAUAACAUUUCAUUUUCAUUCAUCAUUCAUAGUCCUAUCUCUUGACUUAAUUAAUUUACUCUGCUUUUACUAUAUUAAAUUUUCGAUUUUUAUGAGGCACAAAAGUCACUGAAAGAGAAAAAAUCAAAUUGAAAAUCUAUAUUUCUCGAAUAAAUAUAUUCGUGCUUUACACGGUCAUUAAUUUAUGCGUAACUCAUAACAAUUUUACUAUUUUAGAAGCUUAUAAUUAUAUAUAUGUUAGUUUGCAUUAUUAACAAUUUUAUCAAAAUUUGGUGCGUUCAAAUGCAUGUAUCUCAUGAUACAUGAGGUCAAAAUUAAAAGUGUAACCUGUUCUUGAUAUACUGUACUCAAGUGAAUUUGCAUGUAUUUGAGAUAUCUAGACAGAUCUCGCUCCUACUCUCAUAUCUCGCUCGCGUAUGUAUCUGGUAUCCCAGAUAUAUGUAAAUCAUGCUAGAUAUAUGUAUCUAAUGUGUAUUUAGUCAUGUAAUUUGCAUAUAUAUCUGUGACAAAUAGACAAAUCUCGCUCGCUUCUCUCCUGUUCUCGAUUGUCUCUCUCCCUAUUUUUGUGUAUCUAGUAGCAAAAAAAUUAUAUGUAUCUGACUUGAAGUCAUGUAUAUGUAAAUACAUCUUGACUCGAAGUUUGGUAUAACAUUAUUAUAUAAUUAAAAUAAAAUAUAAUUAUUUCAAAGUAUGUAUGUUUGUGUAAUUAGGUAGUUUUUUCUGCCAUAAUACUUAUUUUACUUUUUCAUGAUAGUUAAUACACGUAUUUUAGCAAAAAUAAUUAAAUUGAUAGAAGCCAAUGUGAUGCUUAUUAAAUUUGUUGAAAUUUUAUACAUAAAAAUAUGUUCAGCCAUUUAAACUUGAAGGCAACUUGCAACAUCAAUAUAAUAAUAACUCAUACGAGGUAAAAGAAAAUCUUCCAUAAUGAAGAAAUAAAAGUUAAUUAAAUUCCAAAAUAUCUUACCAAAACUUUAUUAAUACGUUUAUUAGAUUCAGGAGCGAAGCUAAAAUACUUAUAACGUGAAAAAUAACUUAAAGUUCCUAUGGACUCUUUCCAAGUAUUAAUAAUAGAAGCGUUUAUUGAAACUUAUAAGGAAAAAAAAAAGAUUAAAAUUAAUUGAUAUUUCACAGAAAAAAAAAAGUCAUCAAAACAAUUUACUACUACUAAAAUGGAGGAAAGAAACAACUUUUCCAUUAUAAAACCAAAACUAGACAGAGUUGGUUAUUAUAUAUACUAUUAUUAUCUAUAUUUUAAAAAUAUUAGGUGUCUUAUUAAUAAUUAAGAGUUUUCUAUUAUAUAUUUAAAAAAAUACACUUUUAGAUAUAUACGUAGUUUUGCUACCAGAUACAUUAACAUAGAGAGAGAGGCGAGCGAGAUGGAGAGAAAGGCGAGCAAGAUUUGUUAUGUAUCUCAGAUACAUACGAAUUACUCUAGAUACAUACUAGAUACAACAUCUACAUAUCUAGUGUGAUUCACUUGUAUCUGGAUAUCAAAUACAUAUGAGAAUGGCGAGAGAGAUAUUUUAUAUAUAUAAAAUACAUGUAGAUCCACUUGGAUACACUAUGUCUAGAAUAAAUAACAUACAAGUUUAACUCAUGUAUCCAAAGAUAUAUGUAUUUGGACACGUCUAAAAAAAGAAUGACUUAGUUUCCUUUUUUAAAUUAAAACAUUAAAAAUUACUAUUCCCUCCGCUUAAAAAAGAAUGACUUAGUUUCCUUUUUUUGUUUGUUUAAAAAAGAAUAACUCGAAAAUUACUCUUCUUCUACUAUUCGGACCUAAAAUGCCUUGACGUCAACCUUUUUGAAUCUAUUUUGCCCUUCAUCUUUAACAAUCUAAAUAAUAACCUCAAUUAACAAAUUAAUUUAUGACGUAUCACUAUCCUAUUUAAUUAACGAGUAUUUGUUUAGUCAAAUAUCUCAAUUCUCUAAACUAAGAAAAUUGUCUUUUCAAAAGGAAAAAAUAAUACUGCCAAAAACCUUUGCCAAAUCUCAAUUUGAUGAUUUCUUUGGGAAUAAGCUUUAUAAAGUAGUAUACUUAUUUAAAAACAGAUUUUUUCUUGGUAAGAACCUAUCCAGAUGAUGUCAAAUUUAAUAUAGAUGGGUUUUUUAAUUAUUAUUUUUAUUUUAUUUUAAGGAAAGUGACAAAUUAAUUGGCAUUGAUGAAGGUUGAGAACAAUUGUUAGCAUUUUAGAUCUAUCCACUUUAGUGUAGCAACAACAAUAUUGCAGAUCAAAAACUUACAAAUGCAACAACCAAUGGUUACCAUACUACAAUAAAAAUGAUAAUUUGCGGUAUUGAAUUUUUAAUUGGCGCUAAAUAUAUAUUUUUAGCGACAAUUGUCACUUUUUGUAUAUGUCUCUAAAGCCUUUAGCGACAUUGAAACUAAUGAUACUUAACUAGUACCAGUAAAAACUUUAACACUCUUUCUUAACUUAGCGUUCAAUAGAAUUGUAAUAGAAAGAUUCAUUAUUAGUUAACAAGGACACAUAUAUUUAUGAAUCACUAAAUUUAGAGAAAAUGAUAAAAUACCCUUCGAUUUAUAUUCAAAUUUUUAAUAACACACUUAUAUUAUACAGGAGUCUUAUUAUCCCAAUAAACUAUUUUAAAAUGGACUCAUUACCCCCUUGAAAGUUGAUAACUAGCCAUCUGCCUUGUGGUGAGGCACACGCCUUGACACGCCUUCAAUCUUUUUGCAGCCCUAAUUUUCUUUUUGAAAGAUUGAUUUAAGAAAAAUAUUAGGGGAUACAUUGUGGGACUUCUUUUUUUUAAUCUUCCUCACAAGGUGAAUUUGUCGGGCCUCCAUCCUUUUCAACAUUCUCAUAUGCGAAAUAAUCGUUACCACCUCCACAUCCACCUUUAUCACCUCCCUAAUUUACAUCAAAAUUCACACCUUUGCACAUCUUUAUCAUCUUCAUUUAUAAUAUCUCCAAGUUGUUCAUGAUUUCCAACCCCAUUAGUUUCAUCAUCACCUUCCUCAUGAUUUUUUCCUCCUCUAAUUCUUUUUAUUUAUUUAGGUAGAUUGAUUUUGCAAGAGUAUUACAUGACUUUGUAAAUUUAUUUGCAAUCAACAAAAAAGAAUUCAAUAAAAACGGUGGUGGAAACAACGACUAUGGCGGUGGAAAGUCUUAUUUUAGAGGUGGUGAAUGAUGAAGAGAUUUGUUUUAUAUUGCUAUGGAGAAGAGUAAAAAUAAAUAAAAAACAUAAAUAAUUAAAAAUGCAUAUAUUUAUUAAAUAAAUUAUAUAUAAAGUUUUCGUAAUAAUUUUUAAUGAGUGGCGGAUCUAGAAUUUAAUCAUUAUGAGUGCUUUGAAUGUGGAGGAGUGAAAUUAUGAAAAAUAAAUGUUAACAAUAACAUUCAAACCCUGGUUCAACAACAUUAAAAUAGUCUUAAGCACCCACCCAAAAGCCAUUACGCUAAUUUGAUCAUUUAUUCAUUGGGUGCUUUAUGUUAAUUUUAUACAAAUUUCACUUAAUUUCUACAUCGAUAUAUAUAUUCUGUAACAAAGUUUAUAGGUGCUCGAGCACCCGACUGUAACAUCUCGUAAACCGAAAAAUAUCUUGGAAAUUUCCCAAGUGUAAAAAGUUAGUCUUUGGUCAUUUUUCAAACUUCCAUAACUUUUAACUCAGGAUGAGUUAGGGUUAGUUCUUAAUAUGGUUGGAAAGUCCUUGAAGAGAUCUUUCCAACAUUGUCAAGUUUGAGCAUUUUUGGUGUCGUAAAAGGGAUAUAUGACAAUCGGAAGUUGGGAUGUUUGAUUGAGGAAAGUCCAAUACGAAUUUUAGUAAGUGCAAAAUAGUCUUUUCGCCCUACUAUUUCCUAAUUUGUUUUAAGGGUUUAUUAGGAAUAAAACUAAGUGUUAAGUCAGUUUUAGAAAAUUGCAACACGCUUAGGGCUUGGGAGAAAAGAGUAGAGAAGAAGUAUAAAGGAGAAAAGACCAAGAAUUCGUCAAGAACACUAAGAUCUUCGAGUUGAAUUUGUUGGGGGUGAUCCCUAUAAGGUAUAUGAGAUCGUUUUGUGUUGGGUUCUUUCACCCACACAUCAACAUGUUUAACUCAGUGCAUUUAGAGUAGAUUGAAUGAUGGACAUCGUAGUUCUUAAUAAAUAAUUGUUGAAUUCUCGUUGUUUGAGUUGAAGUAUACUUUUAGUUGUUUUGAUUCGUGUUUCCGGGCUGUUUUAAGAGGCUAAUCGAUUGGGUAUUGAGAAUAUUAGUGAUCAUAACUGUUGGGGAAAAAUUCAUGGGAUUUUAGAAGGGUUAGAGAUGAAAAUCGGAGAAGAAAAAUCGAAAAUCCCGUCUGAUAGGCCUAGGGGCACCUAUCCAACAAGAGCCCCUAAGGACAGAAUUUGGUGCGCUGCGCUAGUUAAAGUGCCCGAGGAAGUGUCUGUCCGUCAAGCUUUGGCGUCCCGCACCUCUCAGAGCGCCAAAGUCACCUAGAGACCCCAUUUUCCCUCAUUUUUUCGUACUAGUUCCUAAAUGAUGUACCUAUGUCUCUUAGUUGAUAACAACACUCUAAAGUACACCAAAAAAUCAUGAAAAUCAUCCAUAAAAAUGAGAUCAUGAUCCUUGAAUCCAUAAUCCAAUUCAAGAAAAAUUAAGAUCAAAGUAAAAGAAGUUAAAAAGUCAAGUCUAAAAGUUAAAGAGCAAGUCAAAGUAAGUUCUUAAAGUUUUCAAGAGUCUUAAACAAACAUUUUAAUUUUGGUUUAAGGCUCAAGAUACAAGUUGAGCAAAGAUCAAUGAGUUGAGUUAAAUCUCAAGAGUUAUUAAGGAACUAAGUAGUCCCUAAGAGUUACAAAUGUUUCACAUUUUGAGAAAAGAAAGGAAGCUAGAUUUCCACAGAGCCUUUGGCUAGUUUUAGAAAAAAAGGAACUAUGAAUUACAAGAGAGCUUUUGAAGAUAAGUUUGAGUAAUUACCUCAAACCAGAGAAAUAGUUGUUUUAAGAACACAUGAGCUAAUUAUUUUGGGAGUAGUAUUGAGCACCGAUAUGGGGGGGGGGGGAGAGUUCAUAACAACUCAAGUCUCCAUAAACCAUGUAGCCACCAUGGACAGAGAAAUGAUCAUACUUUUUAGAUGAUUCCUUAAUACUUUUUAGCACAGACUAGUGGAUCCACUUAGUAGUUCAUGUUCUAUACCGACGGCAAGGUAUAGAGCAGUCCUCUUGCAACGUGAUGUAAGACGUUGUACAACCGCUUAAGCUCAUGGUGAUGGUUGUCGGUUAAAGAAUCGCUCACAGAAACUAUAUUACUUUCAUUAUAAGUAAAAUUGAGUUUGUUAUCAAAUUAUCUCUAACGAACUAAGUUGUUUACACUGUUUUGCAAGUUUUAUUAUAUAUAUAUAUAUAUAUAUAUAUAUAUAUAUAUAUAUAUAUAUAUAUAUAUAUAUAUAUAUAUAUAUAUAUUGCAUGUGUCCUUAUUGCUUUAUAUUGAGUUAGUAUUUCAUGAGUCGAGCAGAGCCAAGAUAAGUUCUUCUUAAUCCUUUGUUGUUGUUUAGCAUUACAACUUGCAUACUCGUACAUUCAAUGUACUGAUGUCAGUUGGUCUGCAUCAUCUUAUGAUGCAGAGCAGGUAACCAAGAUCAGCACCCAACGCCUCGGUGAUCCAAUUGAGCAUUUGUAGUCAAUGGUGAGCCUCCUUGUGUUCUGGAGGCCACUUUUAUUUGCUUUCUAGCAUUUCAUUUAUAGGAUGUUGUGGGGUCUGUCCCAACAUCCAGCUUAGUGUUUUGGAGACUUCAUAGACAGUCAGGUAGUCAGUUUGAGUAUCUUUUUUUAACUGCAGAUGUUUCGCUAUGAGAAUUUGAGUGCCAUUUUGGCCAGGCUAUUGUGUAUUAAUUAUUUUUUUCAAGAAUGUUUUUAUUUCAUAUUUGGCCUAGGUUAAGUCUUCUGCUGAGUUAAUAAGUCAGACCAAGGAUUUGUCAAGACCAACAAUGGUCAUUGGGUGCUGAACACUUCCAGGGUGUAGUUUCGGGGCGUGACAUCGGUGGACUUCAUGCGGGACCGCCCCUAUUUUUAUGUUCACUCUCUCAAAGAGAGUGAAAUACACCACAUUGUCAACUAAACAUGUUGGGAGAUAAUUAUUACUAUUAUAAACAGUUCAGGUGAGUGAUCCCUUGUAAAGUUAAAGUAUAUGUUAGUUAAAAAUCCAAAAAUAGAUUAAGGGGACUUUUGACCAUUUCAUUCUAAAUUUAUAAUAAAUAGUAUAUAUAAAGUCUCUUUCAAUUAUGUAUUUGUCCUUUACAAAUUAACUCAAAAUUAAACUCUAAAUAAUUUAAUAUAUUACAAAAAAAAACUAAUAAUAAGAACUCUAUAUUGUUAAAGAAUACAUAUGUUGAAAAGGAAGUUGUUUCGUAGUAUAGAAAAUACAUGAAUCUUUGAAAAGGAAGUUGUUUCGUAGUAUAGAAAAUACAUGGAUCUUUGCUUUCAUUAUAUUGCAAUUAGUUAAGGAGCAUUUGUAUAUGAGAAGGUUUAAUUCAAAAUUUUGAGGAAUAAUAUCAGUAAUUAUAUUGGAUCUGCACAAGUUAUUGGAUCAUAAUAUAUUACUUAAAGAAUUUUAUUUGACUCGAUUUAGUGUCUCACAUGUAAAUAUAUGAAAAAGGAUAACUCUCGUGCAAACAUGUCUAAAUUUAGAUAUAUUCUUUUCUGUUAUAAGCCGAAUAAUAUCUAUAAAUAUAUAUUUACAGGUGCAUGCAAAUUAAUAAAUUUGGGUGUAAUUUUCACUAUUAAUUCUAAAUUAACUGUAAUUUAAAAAGCUUAAAACUUAAAAUCGUAUUUACAAUAUGUUAGAGGACCCAAAUAUGAUAUGAAUUAAAUAUAAUAUAUACAUAGUGAUUUCUUGCAUACGUGUUGCAUUAAAUAUGAGUUUGAUUGGUUAAAACAAAGGUUUGAAAAUCUUAAUUUUAAUAUAGAUUUUGUAUCUAUAGUUAAUUCGGAUAACUAAUAAUUAACUAUUAAUAUGUUAAAACUGAUUGUGAUUGCAGUUGGUCAUAACAAUUAGAAUUGUGUUUACAAUUUACAACCAUUUGAUUUUCUUUUAAAAAAAAAUUAAUUUAGAGCAUCAAACUCUUUUUAUUUAUUAAUAGAAUAUGUACAAGCAUUGGCCAAUCCAAAACUAAGAUAAGCCCAAAAAAGAAAAAGUCCAACCCAUUAAAAUGAACCUUUAGAUAUUUAUAAAGAAAACCUAAAAAAUUAGGGUUCAUAAAUUUGUGCUCCUCUUCAGUAUCCCCUAUACUGCUGCUUGGAGCUUUAUUGAAUUCCACCUUCCUCCCCCAUUUGUUAUGGGUCUUAAUACCUUUCUCUUCUUCUUCCUAAUAUCAUCCUUGCUUAGCUUGCAGCGAUAUGUUUUUGUAUUUUUUUCUUCAUUAAUUUCCCUCAAUUUUUGACUUUCUCCAUUUCAAUGAUGGAGACUUAAUCCGGUGAUGUAGUGGUUGUCUAAGAUAAUUCUUGUAGAGGUGCCUAGUCCAGUGGUCUGGCUCUCAAUUCCUUGUAAGUAGCUAAUGGUAUCUCAUUUCUUCUUCCCUUGUUUGUUGUCUUUCCUAAUCACAUUUCUACAUCUGAGCAGAGCUAGGUGAAUGCUAUUUUUUCAAAAAAAAAAAGUUCUUUGAUGUUUUUAUCUUCCAAUUCUAACCAACAAACUUGUUUUUGCUUGGAGAGAGAUGAUUUGGUUGGAUAUGUUCCUCCAGUGAGACUUGAUGCUGCAUUUUCAAUGUGGAAUUUAAAGAAGACUUGGUCAUUGAUUCUUCAGGUUUUUCCUUUCUGAUGAUAUUCUAUAAAGUGACUUAUUCUUUUUAUAAUUAAAGAAUUAACACUUUUGAUCUAGUAAAUUUUGAAUAAUUGAAAAGAAAUCAUCAAUUGUGUAUGCAUAUUGAGCCAAAUUAUUUUUUGUUUCAAAUCUUAUGAAACCCUCAUUUUCAUGAUAUAUACUACUAUUUAAUAUCAUGUAAUAAUGAAAUAGUGUUCCUCUAUGUUGUCAUUUGCUUUAUUUCUCUAGGUUGUAUUUUCAAAUUAGGUAUUAGCGAUUUUUCUAAAUUAAUAAUCUUUCUUUCGUUGCUUGGAAGUUCAUAGAAGGUGAAAAAACAUUGUCGUCCAACCCUUUCAAAGGUUACAUUAGUAAAUUAAUUUCCUUUCUGAAAACAUGUUGAAGUCUCACAUGACAUAACUGAGCUAGAUACUUAAUGUGUCCUAUUAUAGUUGAAAUCUACCACAGACCCAAAUUUAAGAAAGAACUCGAAUAAUGCCUAAAUAAUCAAUCUUAAAAAUCAUCUUAUUGAGGCUCAUAGAAACACAAUGAUAAAUGACCUUUUGAUUGCAUUGCUUCUACCUCAAUAUCUGUUAUCUAAUGAAUUUCCUCCACUUGAGCAUAUAUAAGAUCUCUUUUAUGAUUACUUGAAAAAUAACCAUUGGAACUCUUGUUUUGAAUUUCCUCCAUUUGAGAAAAAGGUAGGUUUAUAGUUUUGGAGCAAAACCACCAUGUUUGGCCAGUUGGUAAGUACUCAAUUCAUAGAAUAAGUGAUUUUUACUAGUCUUUAGAUACAUGAGCUCACCUUAAAAACAAGACUUUUGUAAGACAAUUUCUUCCCAUUCAUAAGAUUUUUUUUUUUCAUAAAUACCACACAAACCGGAAUGGGUAGUAUGGCCACAGUUGACACCGGUAACUUCCUUUUUAGCCUUGCUCCAUGUUUUCCUGUUGAUGCAGCAAAAGCCUGGUAGCAUGAUCACGCCGCAUGCGUUUUGUUGUAGAACUUUCACAAUUUUCUUGAUAUUUUAUAUGUUCAUUUGACGCUUGAAUCUCAGACUCAAUCUUGAUCACAUUCCUCGUUCCUUUAUUCCGACUUUGAAGCUCCAUAACACUUUAAAUUUUCUUUCAAACAUGCUUAUUAGUUGUAAAAAAAAAUUAUGCAAAGAAGCACACGUCAUAAGCACAUAAUGAUUAUAAUAAUGAUUAAAUAAUGGCAGAAAACACAUAUGAAUAUUUUAUAACAACUAAAUGUAUCUAUUUUAUAUUGUAUGUCAGUUAUCAUCUUUGUAAUCCUAAUUCAUUUAUUUUAAGUUUUAAGUCUUAUUUUAUUUUUUAAUUUGUUUGAAAAGAACUUCAUGUUCGAUAUUAGUAAAAUUUUCUUGAUUUAUUUUUUUGCAUUAUAUAUGCUUACCAUAUAUGUCAUGGUCAAGAUUACUAGAGAAGUUUCAUCCUAUUAGGAACGUUGAUUUCUCUUAGGACUAUACUUUUAUCCUUUUUUGCUUCUUUAUUUAAGUUGUUCAUUUUUUUGCUCCUAUAUUUAUGCAAUUUAUUAGUUUCUUCUUUGCUGUAAUAUCUCAUAUCUAUACAUGUUGUCUGCAUUCAUGUAAACCACGUUAAGUUUAUUAAUCAUCUAAACUAUUUAUAUGUUCACCUAUUUCCAAAUAAUUUCUCCUUUUUUGAUGAUGAUAAACAAUGAAACAUAGUUUACUUUGUAAAACAUUAAAUACUUUGUCAAUCAUCAAACUACAUACUACUGUUACAUUUUUAUAGGACUAAAAUGUUAAAGUCACCUUUGAUAGGAAAAGCUUCGCACCAAAGUGACCAUUUUCUAUACGAAUCUUGGUUAAUCAACCCAAUCAUUUUUAUCACAUCUAUUUAAAGAGGAGAUGGUUGCAAAAUUAGAAAAUUUAUCCUACAUUGCUGGACUCCAAAACGUACAACAUGUUCAACUAGAGAUACUUACAUACUAUUAUUCAUUAUCAUCAUUUCAUGUUUUACUUUUAUCUUCUUUUACGUAAAACAGUAGCUGUUGAGUGGUGGAUUCAAUCAUUUGGAAAGCUUCAUUCUUGUGUCGCUCAAUAUCCCACUGUGCUGCUCUCUUUGCCUUAGUUUGAUCACUGACGUUUUCUACCUUUUUUUGUGCAAUUAUGUGAAAUGCUUUAUGUUUUUGUUCAUCAUUUUUCACAUACUUCUCAUCUUAUUCAAUUUUAGCAACCUCGUAUUCUAAUUUGCGAAUCAUUUUUCUUGCAUCUCCAAAUGUUCCUUGUUUCUUUAUCCCCUUUUUGAACUUCUUGAGUAUGUUCAAUUUCCUUUCCAAUAUUAUUUGCACGAAGAAUAACGUUUAGACCUUUUUUUCCAAUUCUGAAACAAAACAUAUCUCUGUCUCUACAAUAAGUAAAUCGUAUUUAUUAUAAGGAGUAAUAUUCUUGGCAUCUUCAUAAAGUUAUCCAUAAUCAACACGAUCUAAUUCAAUAUGGACAAAACAAAAUUGACAAAAUAAACCAUGUCAUUCAUGCUAUUAGUCAUCCGUAAGUGAGAAGAGACAUUAACAUGGACUUAACUUCAUCAGUCUAACAUUUUUUUUAGUUAUUUCAUGCAUUUAACUUUGAGAAGAAUAAUUGUUCUAAUGACUCUAGUCUUAAUAGUGGAUUCAUGUUUAACUUUUCUAUUAAGACUGGAGAUACCAAAUCAAGAACAUUCUUUCCAAAGCUAAUUACAUGAAACCUCUAAAAAGUGUUGAUUGAUGAAGUCCAAUGUUGGUGCCACAUCUCACUUUUGAGAUGACUAUCAGAGUGGAUGAUAUGAUUUAUAAUACAAAUUAUGCUUUUCUCCACAUUGAAUUGGAUAUAUGGUUCAUUCUACGUAGAUGCUAAGAACAUGGUUGUUAUAAAUAUGGUUUACUUAUUGCAAAGAGAUAAAGAUAUGUGUUUUGUUUGAGAAUUGGUGAAAAGAAAUUUAGAUGAUGUUCUUCGUGCAAAUAAUAUUGAAAGCAAAUUAAACACAACCAAGAAAAAUAGAAAUUAAAUAAUAAGGUAACAACGGAACAUGAAGAGACAAAUAGAAAAUGCAAGAAAUUGAUUCAUAUAUUUAAAAUGAGAGGUUAUUGAUAUUGAACAAGACGAGAAAGUGCACAAAAGAUGAUAAGCAAAAACAUUAAAUAACCUAUGGGAUUGCACAAGUUUGAGGUAGAAAAACUCAUAAAUCAAACAAAAUUACUAGAGUGGUGCAGUGGGAUAUUGAAAGACACAAGAAUUAAGUUUUCCAAGGAAUAGAAUCAACCACUCAACUACUACUGUCUCAUGUAAAAGAGAAAGAGAGAAAUAGUGUAGAAUAAAUUAUGAAAUGAUGAUAAUUUUUACUAGUACAUAAGUUUGUCUAGUUGAACAAGUUUUAAUUUGUGGGUCUAACAAAGUAAAAUCAAUUUUUUAAACUUUUAAACCACAUCCUCUUUAAAGAGAACUUAAGCUGAAUUUAAUAAAAAUGAGUGGGGUUGAUUAAUAAAGGUUUGUAUAGAAAAGUCCCACUAUGGAGCGAAACUUUUCUUAACAAAGAAGACUUAAACAGUAUAUUCCUAGGAAAAUGUAAUAAUAAUAUCCUUAUUUUUUAUAAUCAAACACUUAAGUCUCUUUUAAAGGGACAAUCUUACACAAAAAUAUUGUUCCUCCUUCAAAGUAAAUUUAUAUAAUUGAAGUUGAGGAUUGUGUCGAACUAUUGUUAUGAAUUUUACAUAUAUACAUAGUUUUACUUAGAGUCUGAUUGAAUUGACGUAAAAGUUGGUUAAACCUACUUUUAAGUCAUUUUAAACUUUUGAAAUUAUUUGACAAGGUUAAAAAUAACUUGCAUGCAAACAUGUCUGAAUUCAGAUAUAUUCAUUUUGUUAUAAGCUGAAUAAUAUCUAAAAUAAUAUAUUUACAUGUGCAUGCAAAUUAAUAAAUUCAAGUGUAAUUAUCACUAUUAAUUCUAAAUUAACCAUAAUUUCAAAAGCUUCAAACUUAAAAAUCAUGAUUAGAAUAUGUUAAAGGAUCCAAAUAUGAUAUAAAUUAAAUAUGAUAUAUACAUAUUAAUUUCUUGCAUAGAUGUUGCAUUAAAUAUGAGUUUGAUUGGUUAGAAGAAGGGUAUAAAAAUAUUGAUUUUAGUAUAAUUUUUAUAUCUAUAGUUAAGUUAUAUAUCUUGCAUUAUUAUAAAAUAUCUUUUCUGAAUUAUGUUUAAAAUUUAUAAGUAUUUAAUUAUUUUUAAAAAAAAUUGGAGCAUCAAAAUCUUUUUAUUCAUUAAUAAAGUAUGUACAAGCAUGGGCCAAUCCAAAAUUAGGAUUAACCCAAAAAGAAAUAGCCCAACCCAUUAAAAUGAACCUUUUAGAUAUUUAUAAAGAAACCCUAAAAAUAAGGGUUCAUAAAUUUGUGCUCCUCAUCCUUUUCCUUCAUAUUGCUGCUUGGAGCUUUGUGGAAUUCCACCUUCUUCCACCAUUUGUUGUGGGUCCUUAACCCUUUUUUCUUGUUCUUUCUAAUAUCAAUCUUGCUUAGCUUGUAGAGGUAUGUUUUUGUAUUUUGUUCUUCAUUUCUUUCCCUCAAUUUUCGACUUUCUCCAUUUCAAUGAUGGAGACUUAAUUUGGUGAUGUAGUGGUUGCCUAAGAUAGUUCUUGUAAAGGUGCCUAGUCUUGUGGUCUGACUCUCAAUUCCUUAUAAGUAGCUAAUGUUAUCUUUUUCCCUUGUUUGUUGUCAUUCCUAAUCACAUUUCUAGAUCUGAGCAGGGCCAGGCGAGUGUCAUUUUUUCAAAAAAAUAAAAUAAAAACGCUUUGAUGUCUUUAUCAUCUAAUUCUAACCAAUAAACUUCUUUUUGUCAGGAGAGAGAUAUUUUGGUUGGAUAUGUUCCUCUAGUGAAACUUAAUGUUGCAUUUUCUAUGUGGAAUCCAGAAAAGAGUUGGUUGUUGAUUCUUCAGGUUUUUCCUUUCUGAUGACAUUCUAUAAAGUGACUCAUUUUUUUAUAACUAAAGAAGUAACAGUGAGUUUUGAAUAAUUGAAAAGAAAUCUUCAGUUGUGUAUGAAUAUUUAGCCAAAUUGCUUCUUGUUUCAAAUCUUCUGAAACUCCCCCAUUUUCAUGAUAUAUACUACUUUUAAUAUCAUGUAAUAAUGAAAUUGUGUUCCUCUAUGUUUUCAUUCUGCUUCAUUUCUCUAGGUUGUAUUCUCAAAUUAGGUAUUAUCGGCUUUUCUAAGUUAAUAGUGUUUCUUUUGUUGCUUGGAAGUUUACGGAAGGUUCCUCUAUGUUUUCAUUCUGCUUCAUUUCAUGUUCGAUAUUAGUAUAAUAUUCAUGAUUUAUUAUUUUUUCAUCAUAUAUACUUACCAUAUAUGUCAUGGUGAAGAUUACUAGAGGAGUUUCAUCCUAUAAGAAACUUUGACUCCUCUUUGGACUUUACUUUUACUCUUAUUUUACUUCUUCAUUUAAGUUGUUUCUUUUUUUACACUUUUAUUUAUAAAUUUAUUAGUUUUUUCUUUGCUGCAAUCUCUCAUAUCUAUACAGGUUGUCUGCAUUCAUGUGUGUGGAUUUGAUUAACCUAAUUGAUUAUAUAUAAGAUGAACCACGUUAAGUUUAUUAAUCAUCUAUAUGUUCACCUAUUUCUAAACAAUUUCUCCCUUUUUGAUGACAAUAAACAAUGCAACAUAGUUUACUUUGUAAAACAUCAAAAUACUUUGUCAAUCAUCAAAACUACAUACUAUUGUUACAUUUUUUAUAGGACUAAACUGUUAAAGUCACCUUUGGUAGGAAAAGCUUCAUACCAAAGUGACACUUCUCUAUAUGAAUCUUGGUUAAUCAGCCCGUAUCAUUUUCAUCACAUUCAUAUUCACAUCUAUUUAAAGAGGAAAUGGUUGCAAAUUCAAAAAAUUAUCCUACUUUGCUGGACCCCAAAACUUAAAACAUGUUCAACUAGACAUACUUACAUAAUAUUAUUUAUUAUUAUCAUUUCAUGUUUUACUUUUCUCUUUCAUUUACAUAAAAUAGUAGCAGUUGAGUGGUGGAUUCAAUCACUUGGACAGCUUCAUUAUUGAUCAAUAUUCCCACCAUACUACUCUCUCUGCCUAUAGGAUUGCACAAGCUAAGCUAGAAAAAGAGUGGUGCACAGGUUAUUGUGAAACACAAAGAAUAAAGUUUUCCAAGGAAUCGAAUCAACCACUCAACUAUUACUGUCUCAUGCAAAAGAGAGAGAGAGAGUGUGUAGUAAAAAUUAUGAAAUUAUGAUAAUGUUUAUUAGUACAUAAGUUUGUCUAGUUGAACAAGCUUUUAGUUGUGGGUCUAACAAAGUAGAAUCAAUUUUUAAAACUUUGCCACCACAUCCUUUUUAAUAGAAGUUAAGUUGAAUUUGAUAAAAAUGAUUGGGGUUGAUUAAUCACAUGCAUGGUUUUCAUAAAUUCUAUUCUUGUCUUAUUGAAUAUUUCACAUUCAAUAAAUUUCAAAGUCUAAAUUUCUCACCAACAUCCAUGCGAAGGAUCAGAAAAUAAUAUCAUACAUAUGUAUGCUUUGCAACUAAUUUUUGGGUGAUGAUAUUAUGUCUUUAAAUUUACAAAUUUAGUAGAUAUUAGAACUAACUCAAUCCUAGAAACUUUUAUUCAUGAGAAAAAUAUAACAACUUAAAGUAAUCUUACACACAAAGGAAUGCAUACUAUACACUCCACUCUUAUUUGCACAAAAGGAAAUAUAACAAAACAAACUCAAUACUUUUAAUUUUUAGUAGCAGAUAUGAGAUCCCUAAUGGCAUCAAAUAAGACUGCAGCCUUAGAUGGCUCAAACAACUCAAUAACAUGGUAACCAUCUCCAAAGAGCUUGAAAGUUUUUACACCUUUCUUUUCAAUAAAAUCAGCAAAGUCGAGGCACCGAUUAAAGGAUCUUCAGAGACACCGGUGACAAGGAUCCCCCAGCCUCGUGUGAUCAUAUCAUCUAAAUGCUUUGACCCUCCGUUAAGUAAUGGGUUGGAAUAUUCAUGAUCAUGAUCUAGUGUUCCUUUUGGUAAGGACAAGUCAAACAUCUUAUCAAUUGCUUGAAAUGGCAAAGUUGGAUCAUCUUUUAGCUUCUCUUCAGAUUCUGUCCUAUUUUUUCCACUGAAAUAUGGUUGAUGCAAGAUAAGCCCUUUGAUCUUCACUGGUUCUAGUUUUUUGUCUGAAAAAGAUGUUACGCGUAACCCUGUAGGUAAGGGUGACAAAAUUAGCCCAUAAAAUUAUAAUUAGUUCAAUACAUAUAAAUUUAGACAGUUAAUAAAAGGGAUGUACUCUAAUCAAAGCUAGUUAAUCUCCUUAUUAUUCCCUCCUCACCUAAUAUAUAGUUUGAUUGAGCACAUAGUUAAAAGAAACUUAAAAGGAAUACUUUACAAUGUUACCAAACUAACCUUAAAAAGAGUACACCUAAUGUAGACUUCUUGCCAAAUAAGUGGGACUCAACAAGCAUAAACUAUUUGACAAUAUUGUUAAAUAUUUGUCAACAAAGAAAAUGUGAUAUAACUCUUUUUUGACUGAUUAAAAAAAAAUAAAUCAUAUAAAUUGAAAGAAAGGAAGUAAAUGAUACCGUUAUCCCAAACCUUUUUUGGCGUAAAUUUACGCCACCAGUUUGAAAAUACUACACAUCAUGAUAUUUUAAUUUGAAAUCAUAAAAUUCAAAAACUUAGUAUCCAGUUAAACUAAGAUACUUUGUUACUAUAAUGAACAUAAAUAUAUAGAGAAUUGAAUGUAUCAAUUUUAAAUCUUGAAUCCAAAUAACUCUAACAAAGUACCUGCAUGGUAAGCCAAGUUUCCACCAGAACUUGAUCCAAAAAGAUAAACAUUACUCAAAUCAGCAUAAUUUUGAAUCCAUUCAUCUUGAGUUGAUUUAAUCCAAUUUAACCCAUCUAUGGCAUCAUCGUAAGCUGCAGGAAGUCGAUUUUCAGGGGCCAAACGAUAUUCAAGGGCAAUAAUCAUCGCGUCAAGUUUCUCAGAAAGUUGUUGACAAAAUAGAUCCGAACCAUAACUAUUAACAUGAUAGAAGACAAAGCCUCCGCCAUGAUAGUAGAAAAUAACUGGCAAUUUAUCAUCGUCAUGAUUUACAAUUAUUCGUCGUGGUACGUAGAUUCUCAUCCAUGUUUUUUUAUUGCUGUCUAGGUCUACAUCCUUAGAUAUGACUAAAGAAGUACCAUUGGGAUCAAAAUUGGCUUGUGUGAGGGGUUCAGGUUGACGUUUAAUUGUAUCAUUUGGUAAUUCUUCAAUGUUCAAAAAUGGAUUGUCAAAAAUUGGACGAACAAAUUUUUGGCUAGACAUAAUAAUUAUUGAUCACACAAAUAUGUAUUAUAGGAACUUAGCUAUAUAUUAGGGGUUAUUAUGAUAAUCUAUAUAUAGACUUAUAUAUAAGAAGAAGAAGAAUAUUACUGACAAGUGACAACUAGGAAUUAUUAUAUUGGAAAUUGCAAUAAUUAUGUGUAAUAUAUAUAUAUAUAUAUAUAUAUAUAUAUAUAUAUAUAUAUAUAUUGCUUUAAACAUAAACAGAAAAAAGCAAUACAGAAAAUACUGUCAAUGCAACAAAUCAAUGGUUACAAACUUAGCAUUUAAUAAAGGGAUAAUAAAUAAUUACCUCUCAACCUAUGCCCGAAAUAUAAGAGAGACACUUAUACUAUACUAAGGUCCUAUUAUCCCUCUGAACUUAUUUUAUUAAUAAUUUUCUACCACUUUUCGGACUACGUGGCACUAUCUUGUGGACCCAACGCUGAUUGACUUUUUUUUUCUCAAGCUAGUUCCAUAAUGGGAGGACAACAAUAAUUUUGGAGUUCACAAUAAAAUAAAACUUUCCAAAUCGAAUAUCGAUGUAUUUCAAAAAUAAUACUCCCUCCGUUUCAUAAAGAAUGAUCUGAUUUGACUUGGCACGGAGUUUAAAUAAAUAAAGAAGACUUUUGAAUUUUAUGGUCCUAAAUUAAAGUUAUGUCUAAUAUACAAAAUUGUCCUUUUGACCUUGUGGCCUUAAACAAAAUAAUUAAAAAUACAUAUAUUUAUUGAAAAAAAUAUUAAGAAUAAAGUUUUAGUAAUAGAUUUUGAUGUUCACUUUCCGAGAGUAAAAUACACUCACAUUGUCAACUAAGUGUUUAGAGAGAUAAUUAUUACAGUUAUUAAAAAUUGAGGUGGGUGAUACGACUUCGGUAAAGCUAAAGUGUAUGUAUAGCUAAAAAUCUAAAUACAGAUUAGGAGGACUUUUGACCAAUUUCUCCUAAAUUUAUAAUAAAUAGUAUAUAUAAUGUCUCUUCCAAUUAAGUAUUUGUCGUGCCAAUUAACUCAGACAUUAAACUCUAAACAAUUUAAUAUAUUACAAAUAACAGCAACAACUAAUGUAAUAAGAACUCUAAAUUGUCAAAGAACACAUAUGUUGAAAAGGAAGUUAUUUCAUAGUAUAUAUAGAAAAUACAUGAACCCUUGCUUUCAUAAUAUUGCAAUUAUUCAAGGAGCAUUUGUAUAUGAGAAGGUUUAAUUCGAAAUUGAGGAAUAAUAUCAGUAAUUAUAUUGAAUCUGCAAAAGUUAUUGGAUCACAAAAUAAUACUUUAGGAAUUUUACUUGAUUCGAUUUAGUGUCUGACUUGUAAUGAUAAAAAAAAAAGAAUAACUUUCAUGCAAACAUGUCUAAAUUCAGAUAUAUAUUCUUUUUUGUUUUAAGCUAAGUAAUAUCUAUAAAAAUAUAUCUACAUGUGCAUGCAAAUUAAUAAAUUCAAGUGUAAUUAUAACUAUUAAUCCUAAAUUAACCAUAAUUUCAAAAGCUUCAAAAUUUAAAUCGUGAUUAGAAUAUGUUAAACAAUCCAAAUAUGAUAUAAAUUAAAUAUAAUAUAUACAUAUUAAUUUCUUGCAUAGAUGUUGCAUUAAAUAUGAGUUUGAUUGGUUAGAAGAAGGGCAUAAAAAUAUUGAUUUUAGUAUAAUUUUUAUAUCUAUAGUUAAGUUAUAUAUCUUGCAUUAUUAUAAAAUAUCUUUUCUGAAUUAUGUUUAAAAUUUAAAAGUAUUUAAUUUUUUUUAAAAUAAUAAUUUGGAGCAUCAAAAUCUUUUUAUUCAUUAAUAAAGUAUGUACAAGCAUGGGCCAAUCCAAAACAAGGAUUAGCCCAAAAAAGAAAUAGCCCAAUCCAUUAAAAUGAUCCUUUAGGUAUUUAUAAAGAAACCCUAAAAAAUAAGGGUUCAUAAAUUUGUGCUCCUCAUCCUUGUCCUUCAUAUUACUGCAAAUGCUUGGAGCUUUGUGGAAUUCCACCUUCCUCCACCAUUUGUUGUGGGUCCUUAACCCCUUUUUCUUGUUCUUUCUAAUAUCAUUCUUGCUUAGCUUGUAGAGGUAUGUUUUUGUAUUUUGUUCUUCAUUUCUUUCCCGCAAUUUUCGACUUCCUCUAUUUCAAUAAUGGAGACUUAAUCUGGUGGUCUAGUGGUUUCCUAAGAUAGAUCUUAUAAAGGAACCAAGUCCGUGGUCUGGCUUUCAAUUCCUUGUAAGUAGCUAAUGUUAUCUCAUUUCUUCUUUCCAUGUUUGUUGUCAUUCCUAAUCACAUUUCUAGAUCUGAGCAGGGCCAGGCGAGUGUCAUUUUUUCAAAAAAAUAAAAUAAAAAAGCCUUGAUGUCUUUAUCGUCUAAUUCUAACCAAUAAACUUCUUUUUGUCAGGAGAGAGAUAUUUUGGUUGGAUGCAUUUUCUAUGUGGAAUCCAGAAAAGAGUUGGUUGUUGAUUCUUCAGGUUUUUCCUUUCUGAUGACAUUCUAUAAAGUGACUCAUUUUUUUAUAACUAAAGAAGUAACAGUGAGUUUUGAAUAAUUGAAAAGAAAUCUUCAGUUGUGUAUGAAUAUUUAGCCAAAUUGCUUUCUUGUUUCAAAUCUUCUGAAACUCCCCCAUUUUCAUGAUAUAUACUACUUUUAAUAUCAUGUAAUAAUGAAAUUGUGUUCCUCUAUGUUUUCAUUCUGCUUCAUUUCUCUAGGUUGUAUUCUCAAAUUAGGUAUUAUCGGCUUUUCUAAGUUAAUAGUGUUUCUUUCGUUGCUUGGAAGUUUACGAAAGGUGGAAAAAAUCAUUGUUGUCCAACCCUUUCAAAGGCUACAGUAGUAAUUUAAUUUGCUAAUGAAUUUCCUUUCUGGAAACAUGUUGAAGUCUCACUUGACAUAACUAAGCUAGAUACUGAAUGUGUCCUAUUAUUGUUGAAAUCUGCCACAGAAUCUCCCAAAUUUAAAAAAGAACUCGAAUAAUGUCUAAAGAAUCAAUCUUAAAAAUCAUCUUAUUGAGGCUCGUAGAAACACAAUGAUAAAUGAUCUUUUUGAUUGCAAUUUCCUCUUCCUCAAUAUCUGUUUUCUCAUGAAUUUCCUGUCUUUGAGCAUAUAUAAGAUCUCCUCUAUGAUUACUUGAAAAAUAACCAUAGGAACUCUUGUUCGGAUUGUCUUACAUUUAAACACUUGACAUCAUGUGGUUUUCAUGGCUAGUUGGUAGGUACUCAAUUCAUAGGAUAAGUGAUUUUUACUAGUCUUUAGAUACAUGGGUUCACCUUAAACAAGACUAUUGUAUGACGAUUUUUCCCAUUCUUAAGAUUAUUUAUCAUUUUUUAUAAAUAUCACACGAACCGGGAUGGAUAGUGUGGCCACGGUUGACAACGAUAACUCCCUUUUUAGCAUUGAUACAUGUUUUUCUCUUGAUGCAGCACAAGCCUGGUAGCAUGAUCGCGCCGCAUGUGACUUGUUGUAGAACUCUCACAAUUUUCUUAAUAUUUUGUAUGUUCAUUUGACUAUUGAAUCUCAGACUCAGUCUUGAUAACAUUCUUCAUUCCUCUGUUCCGACUUUAAAACUCCAUAACACUUCAAAUUUUCUUUCAAACAUGCUUAUUAGCUGUAAAAAAAUUGUGCAAACAAGUACACUCAUAAGCAUAUAAUGAUUAUAAUAAUGAUUAAAUGAUGGUAUAAAAACACAUAUAAAGACUUUAUAACAACUAAAUGUAUGUAUUUUAUACUGAAUAUCAGUUAUCAUCAAUGUCAUCGUGAUUCAUUUAUUUUAAGUUUUAAGUCUUAUUUUUUUUUAAUUUGUUUGAAAAUAAUUUCAUGUUCGAUAUUAGUAUAAUCUUCAUGAUUUAUUAUUUUUUCAUUAUAUAUACUUACCAUAUAUGUCAUGGUGAAGAUUACUAGAGGAGUUUCAUCCUAUAAGAAACUUUGACUCCUCUUUGGACUUUACUUUUACUCUUAUUUUGCUUCUUCAUUUAAGUUGUUUCUUUUUUUACACUUUUAUUUAUAAAUUUAUUAGUUUUUUCUUUGCUGCAAUCUCUCAUAUCUAUACAGGUUGUCUGCAUUCAUGUGUGCGGAUUUGAUUAACCUAAUUGAUUAUAUAUAAGAUGAACCACGUUAAGUUUAUUAAUCAUCUAUAUGUUCACCUAUUUCCAAACAAUUUCUCCCUUUUUGAUGAUAAUAAACAAUGCAACAUAGUUUACUUUGUAAAACAUCAAAAUACUUUGUCAAUCAUCAAAACUACAUACUAUUGUUACAUUUUUUAUAGGACUAAACUGUUAAAGUCGCCUUUGAUAGGAAAAGCUUCAUACCAAAGUGACACUUUUCUAUAUGAGUCUUGGUUAAUCAGCCCCAAUCAUUUUCAUCACAUUCAUAUUCACAUCUAUUUAAAGAGGAAAUGGUUGCAAAUUCAAAAAAUUAUCCUACUUUGCUGGACCCCAAAACUUAAAACAUGUUCAACUAGACAUACUUGCAUACUAUUAUUUAUUAUUAUCAUUUCAUGUUUUACUUUUCUCUUUCUUUUACGUAAAAUAGUAGCAGUUGAGUGGUGGAUUCAAUCACUUGGAGAGCUUCAUUGUUGAUCAAUAUCCCACCAUACUACUCUCUCUGCCUAUAGGAUUGCACAAGCUAAGCUAGAAAAAGAGUGGUGCACAGGUUAUUGUGAAACACAAAGAAUAAAGUUUUCCAAGGAAUCGAAUCAACCACUCAACUAUUACUGUCUCAUGCAAAAGAGAGAGAAGAGAGUGUGUAGUAAAAUUAUGAAAUUAUGAUAAUGUUUAUUAGUACAUAAGUUUGUCUAGUUGAACAAGCUUUUAGUUGUGGGUCUAACAAAGUAGAAUCAAUUUUUAAAACUUUGCCACCACAUCCUUUUUAAUAGAAGUUAAGUUGAAUUUGAUAAAAAUGAUUGGGGUUGAUUAAUCACAUGCAUGGUUUUCAUAAAUUCUAUUCUUGUCUUAUUGAAUAUUUCACAUUCAAUAAAUUUCAAAGUCUAAAUUUCUCACCAACAUCCAUGCGAAGGAUCAGAAAAUAAUAUCAUACAUAUGUAUGCUUUGCAACUAAUUUUUGGGUGAUGAUAUUAUGUCUUUAAACUUACAAAUUUAGUAGAUAUUAGAACUAACUCAAUCCUAAAAACUUUUAUUCAUGAGAAAAAUAUAACAACUUAAAGUAAUCUUACACACAAAGGAAUGCAUACUAUACACUCCUCUCUUAUUUGCACAAAAGGAAAUAUAACAAAACAAACUCAAUACUUUUAAUUUUUAGUAGCAGAUAUGAGAUCCCUAAUGGCAUCAAAUAAGACUGCAGCCUUAGAUGGCUCAAACAACUCAAUAACAUGGUAACCAUCUCCAAAGAGCUUGAAAGUUUUUACACCUUUCUUUUCAAUAAAAUCAGCAAAGUUGCGCGAGGCAUCGAUUAAAGGAUCUUCAGAGACACCGGUGACAAGGAUCCCCCAGCCUCGUGUGAUCAUAUCAUCUAAAUGCUUUGACCCUCCGUUAAGUAAUGGGUUGGAAUAUUCAUGAUCAUGAUCUAGUGUUCCUUUUGGUAAGGACAAGUCAAACAUCUUAUCAAUUGCUUGAAAUGGCAAAGUUGGAUCAUCUUUUAGCUUCUCUUCAGAUUCUGUCCUAUUUUUUCCACUGAAAUAUGGUUGAUGCAAGAUAAGCCCUUUGAUCUUUACUGGUUCUAGUUCUUUGUCUGAAAAAGAUGCUACGCGUAGCCCUGUAGGUAAAGGUGACAAAAUUAGCCCAUAAAAAUUAUAAUUAGUUCAAUACAUAUAAAUUUAGACGAUUAAUAAAAGGGAUGUACUCUAAUCAAAGCUAGCUAAUCUCCUUAUUAUUCCCUCCUUACCUAAUAUAUAGUUUGAUUAAGCACAUAGUUACAGAAACUUAAAAGGAAUACUUUACAAUGUUACCAAACUAACCUUAAAAAGAGUACACCUAAUGUAGACUUCUUGCCAAAUAACUGGGACUCGACAAGCAUAAACUAUUUGACAAUAUUGUUAAAUAUUUGUCAACAAAGAAAAUGUGAUAUAACUCUUUUUUACUGAUUAAAAAGAAAACUAAAUCAUAUAAAUUGAAAGAAAGGAAGUAAAUGAUACCGUUAUCCCAAACCUUUUUUGUCGUAAAUUUACGACACCAGUUUAAAAAUACUACACAUCAUGAUAUUUUAAUUUGAAAUCAUAAAAUUCAAAAACUUAGUAUCCAGUUAAACUAAGAUACUUUGUUACUAUAAUGAACAUAAAUAUAUAGAGAAUUGAAUGUAUCAAUUUUAAAUCUUGAAUCCAAAUAACUCUAACAAAGUACCUGCAUGGUAAGCCAAGUUUCCACCAGAACUUGAUCCAAAAAGAUAAACAUUACUCAAAUUAGCAUAAUUUUGAAUCCAUUCAUCUUGAGUUGAUUUAAUCCAAUUUAACCCAUCUAUGGCAUCAUCGUAAGCUGCAGGAAGUCGAUUUUCAGGGGCCAAACGAUAUUCAAGGGCAAUAAUCAUCGCGUCAAGUUUCUCAGAUAGUUGUUGACAAAAUAGAUCCGAACCAUAACUAUUAACAUGAAAGAAGACAAAGCCUCCGCCAUGAUAGUAGAAAAUAACUGGCAAUUUAUCAUCGUCAUGAUUUGCAAUUAUUCGUCGUGGUACGUAGAUUCUCAUCCAUGUUUUUUUAUUGCUGUCUAGGUCUACAUCCUUAGAUAUGACUAAAGAAGUACCAUUGGGAUCAAAAUUGGCUUGUGUGAGGGGUUCAGGUUGACGUUUAAUUGUAUCAUUUGGUAAUUCUUCAAUGUUCAAAAAUGGAUUGUCAAAAAUUGGACGAACAAAUUUUUGGCUAGACAUAAUUAUUGAUCACAAAAAUAUGUAUUAUAGGAAGUUAGCUAUAUAUUAGGGGUU
rnacentral:lncRNA from 1 species